AUGAACGCUGGCGGCGUGCCUCAUCCAUGCCAGUCGAGCGAACAGACGAGGAGCUUGCUCCUCUGACGUUAGCGGCGGACGGGUGAGUAACACGUGGAUAACCUACCUAUAAGACUGGGAUAACUUCGGGAAACCGGAGCUAAUACCGGAUAAUAUAUUGAACCGCAUGGUUCAAUAGUGAAAGACGGUUUUGCUGUCACUUAUAGAUGGAUCCGCGCCGCAUUAGCUAGUUGGUAAGGUAACGGCUUACCAAGGCAACGAUGCGUAGCCGACCUGAGAGGGUGAUCGGCCACACUGGAACUGAGACACGGUCCAGACUCCUACGGGAGGCAGCAGUAGGGAAUCUUCCGCAAUGGGCGAAAGCCUGACGGAGCAACGCCGCGUGAGUGAUGAAGGUCUUCGGAUCGUAAAACUCUGUUAUUAGGGAAGAACAAAUGUGUAAGUAACUAUGCACGUCUUGACGGUACCUAAUCAGAAAGCCACGGCUAACUACGU
rnacentral:rRNA from 1 species